GUGGCGGCCACGCUCGCGGUGGCGGCGGCGUUCCCGUCGCUGCGGGGCGCGCGGCUCGGGACCGCGGCCGCCGCG
rnacentral:tRNA from 1 species